GAUGAACGCUGACAGAAUGCUUAACACAUGCAAGUCUUUGGCGAAUCUGUGCUUGCACAGGCUAGCCAAGGCGGACGGGUGAGUAACGCGUAAAGAACUUGCCCUGCAGACAGGGAUAACAGACGGAAACGACUGAUAACACCUGAUACAGUUGCCGGCACGCAUGUGCCUGGCAAUGAAAAGAGAUGCUGCAGGAGAGCUUUGCGUCCUAUUAGCUUGUUGGUGAGGUGACGGCUCACCAAGGCGAUGAUAGGUAGCCGGCCUGAGUGGGUGAACGGCCACAAGGGGACUGAGAUACGGCCCUGACGCCUACGAGAGGCAGCAGUGGGGAAUAUUGGACAAUGGGGGCAACCCUGAACCAGCAAUUCUGUGUGCACGAAGAAGGUUUUCGGAUUGUAAAGUGCUUUCAGCAGGGAAGAAGAAAGUGACGGUACCUGCAGAAGAAGCGACGGCUAAAUACGUG
rnacentral:rRNA from 1 species